UACAGAGAGUGCAAGCGUUAAUCGGAAUUAUUGGGCGUAAAGCGCACGUAGGUGGAUGUUUAAGUCGGAUGUGAAAUCCCUGAGCUUAACUUAGGAAUUGCAUUCGAUACUGGGCGUCUAGAAUAUAGUAGAGGGAAGUGGAAUUUCUGGUGUAGCGGUGAAAUGCGUAGAUAUCAGAAGGAACAUCAGUGGCGAAAGCGGCUUCCUGGACUAAUAUUGACACUUAGGUGCGAAAGCGUGGGGAGCAAACAGG
rnacentral:rRNA from 1 species